rnacentral:rRNA from 1 species
AUGGAUUUACCUGGACCAAUACAUGAGAUUCUUAUGCUAUUUGGGGGAUCUGUUCUUCUAAGGGGUCUAGGAGUAGUAUUACUUGCCAACCCCAUUUAUUCUGCCUUUUCGCUGGGAUUAGUUCUUGUUUGUAUAUCUUUAUUCUAUUUUUUAUUAAAUUCCUACUUUGUAGCUGUCGCACAACUUCUUAUUUAUGUGGGAGCCAUAAAUGUCUUGAUCAUAUUCGUUGUAAUGUUCGUAAAUGGCUCAGAAUGGUCUAAAGAUAAGAAUUGUUAG